UAGGUUGAAGCUAGUUUUGUUGCAGAAUUGCAAAUGUUUGGUACUGGUUGAAACUAUGAAAGUAAUACAGGUAAAUUUAAAGAAUUUAGACUUUAACUUUAUUAAUAGAAAAGAUAUUCCCAAAUGUCAAGGUGAAAGUGGACAUUGUAGAUUCUAAACACCCAUGUGAAAGCAACAGUCUUCUAUGGUGAGAGGAUGCCAUACUUAGCAUUAAUGCUCUUGUUAUUAUAUGGAAUAUGGCUUUUUUUAUCAUUAUUUUCACUAUUUUGAUAUUCAACAACCAACAUUGAUAACAAGUAAUAUAAAACUCUCACUUUUUAUGAAUCCUAUAUCAUAUUAAUUUACUUAUUUAAUUUUUGUUAUAUUUGUUAUCAAUUGUAGGUCUCAUGGUUAUCAUUUAACAGCAGGUUAUUAGCAGCAGUUUUGUAGAAAAAUGAAGGAUGACUGUCAAUGGUAAAUACAUACAUUUUAGGAUAAUUACAUGUAGUUACCUUUGAAAAAAAACUUAGGUUUCAUUUGAGACUUUUUAAUCUGAUAAUGGUGUUUUGCAGGCAUUUAUAACAUUUCUUUUUGGACAAUAUAUUUAGUAGACUCAACUAUAAAAUGUAGGAUCAUGUAAACUUGUACACAGAUGUCACUGACCUACAUUUUCCACUUCACUGACUUUGGUUACAUUAAACAUCCAAUUUCAUAUACAACAAAUGUAUAUCUCAGCAACUAAAAGGUGUCAGAUCAUGCAAACUUAUAUAUACACUCUCAGAGUCUCAGUAAGUAACUCAGCUUCCAGGCAAAAGAAGGUCACAGUGAUCCACAUUUUACACUAUUGAUUUGUACUUUAUUUUAUAAUUUAAAUACAAAGUAUAUUAUCAAGACUGCCACUGGUUCUUAUGUGCCACAAUUCUGACAAUGAAGAUAACUAUGUGAUGUAGAUAACUUAUGUUUAUUUCAAACUUGGUCACAUGCUGUAUAUAUGUAAAUUUUUACCAAAAAGAACAGUUCAACUGUAUUGAUUUAAGGUACAAUAUAUGGUAAAGGUCACACCUAUUAAAUAUACAUGUAUACCUUGAAUUUAUUUGCAUUGGACCCUAUAAUGCUCCCUAUAUCAUUUAUAUUGUCAAUUAUUGCAUUCCAAAUUGCCAUUGUACACAAAACAAAAACCACUAAAAAGGAUGGCCAUCAUAUGCAAAAGCAAUAUAAAAUGCAUACCCAUCAGCUGACCUAAUUAUUGCAAUCACUUCAAAAACCUGGCCAUAUAUCAUAUUAUAAAACUCUUAAUGAGUACCUUUGUUAGUCAGGUAUAAUAUAAUCUUUUUAAAUUGAUGUUGUAAUGCAUGAUUGGAUUAAUUUUGCACUCACUGAAAUAUUAUAUAGAUUUAGUAGUUUAUUAGUAUAUAUUACACCUUUUCAUUACAAAUAAAUAAAUUAAACUUUCAGGUAAAUGCAGCAACAGAAUGUUCCCCUGGAAAAUUUACGCAGAAAAUUUGGGAAAGUAUGAAUAAGAAAUUAGAGAGGCAAACAGAUAACCAGAAAACAAAGAUUUUAAAAGAAAAGAAUUGCCACUAAUAGUAAUAUGAUAUAUCUGACUGGGAGCAACAUGUACUAUUCAAUAUGGAAGGAUUGACAAUUUUGACUGAGAACAAAGUGAACUCUAAUAAUGCUAUGACUAUCAAUAAGUACUUGACUGAAUCAGAGGAGUAAACUAUUUACAUAUUUGUAAAUAUAACAGUUAUAUGUUUGCUUGAUUAUUGAGGCAUUCAAAAUAAAGAAAGUUGA
rnacentral:lncRNA from 1 species